GGGAGAGGGGAAAAAGGGCGAGUUUUAGUGGCUGAUGGUGGCAUGGCUCCGUGAGAAGUUCGGUUAGAUUCGUUAUCCCUUUCCCCCAAUAUAUGGGAUAGCCCUUCCUUCUUGGAUGGAGUAAGGGAGGAAGUCUAGUGAGGAGGAGGCUAGCGAGAUUGAGAUUCCUGAGUGCUUGUGCCUCCCCCCUCCCCUUUUCUGUCGGCUGUCUGAUUUUGGGCGAGUCAGCUGUUCAUCCCCUUUCAGCGCGAUAGGGUCUAGUGCCCUGUGACUCUGGGAGGCUGCAGUACGCGGCCUGGGGAAGGAAGUCCGUAGGUUGGUGCUUGCUAAAUAAAGGAGAGUAGGGUACAAGGUGUGGAGUGGAGAGUGAAGGGAAUAGUGGUAGACAAAGGAACAAUGAUAGAAAAAGGGAGAGCAGGGUGUAGGUAUAGCUGCUAGGAAGGAGGAUUGCACAGGUUAUUACAGUAUCUUAUCCAUUCCUUAAAAUCCCCCCCCCUUUUUUUUAUCUUUGUUGGUGGCUAUCUUGCAGUUGAGGAGGCUAAAGUCCCCUAAUUACAGAACAAGUGCUGUACAGAAGCUCAGGCCAGCCUGUUGUUGCUAGCAAAUGGGGCGAUGUGACUCUAUAGCUUUUUAUCUGAAAGCUUUUUCUGAAGACUUGAAUGCUGCAGGAUGGGACUGUUAUUUCCAGCAUAGAUGCACACCUGGAGAUAACUAAGCAGUAGUUGCCCUUGGUUGAUUCCGUUAAUGCGUCUUUUGGAAAGGAGGUUAGUCUUGUCUUCAGAAGUGUCAACUCUUUCCUGAUGUUAGAUGCAUGGGCUGGCCUUAGAACCUUGGGUAUGUCAUUAGUUUUACAGAAACUCCUGCUAUCGGACUCUAUGCUAAGAAAUUCUUGCUAUUACCAGCCUAGACUAGAUUUGAAUUAGUGCCCUAUAGGUAAAAGAUUCUAUUUCUCAUUAUUAAUUGUCAUCUAGUCUUGCCUUUAUUUUGUUAGAGUAUUUAUAGCAAUCCCUCUCAUUGUGGUAUGUUUUCCUCCCUUUCAGGGAAUUCACAUUGAGAAACUAACCAGUACCUAUGUUAUGUAUUUUCAAUUGUGUAUGUGGAGAACAGACAAGGCACUGUUUACUCCAAAGGCCUGCUGAAGAGGGGAAGGUAUCACUGUUCACAGAUGGGGAGUGGGACCGGGCGUAGGCCGGGUAGUCUCUCCCUGCCUGUGGACACACUCCCCAGCUUGUGCAGGAUGAUAACAAUGCCUUUGUCACCACCUCCGCUAUUAUCUGCUACCAACCACUUGCGGCCUAAACUAAUGUCAAGAGCCUGACCCACACCAAAGCUGCCUCAUAAAUCACGUGAAAGGGGAAUUAAUAUCUACAACUACAUGCUGAUCAGGCAUGAGGACCCAUGAUGGGGGGCCUCCACUAUUUAGUUCUCUAAACCUGAAGGGUGGAGACCUUUGUCACAAGUUUUCAUUAAUUUCUUUUCCCUUCCCUUUUGAAAACCCAGUCAGCGGGUUGAGCCCAGAGGAGUGUGUCAGAGUGACACAGGUUCUGGCUACUGAUAAGGACGUCAAGAAACCUAAUCACAAUAGACAUGCGCCUUAGAAGCAUAUAAAAUGUGACAAUAACAACAGCUCUUUGGAGCUCCCUCUCAGCUGGUCUGGGACCCCCCUUAUUGCGUCCUGCACACUCGAGACCCUCGCCCGACGUGGAACAGGAUGACCAACUGUACCUGGAACCUUGGAUUAGCGUAUGCUGAAUUAGAGUGCCCACAAGGACUUUUACUUUUUGUGUGUUGCGUAAUGUUGUUUUUGAUUUGGCUGUGUGUUUGGCAACCUAAGUUGUAAUAGUUUAGCAUUUAUUCUUUUAAUUUUUGUUGUGUGAUUUGUGCAUCAUCAUUAUGGAUUCUCGUAUGGUUGUAAUAGUGUUGAUAGGAUUUUGGAUAAUGAGCCCUAAGUUAGUAUCUGUACAGGAACAGCAUAGAGGGGACACUCGGGAUCUUCCCCAGGAAAAUCUCGCCUUUGAAAUGAUUAAGGGAUUUUAUCGCCUAUUUAACAUGUCUGGUGGAGGAAUUUGUCUGGAAAUACCAGAUAGUGCUGGAACUGGCCUUCCGUUUGGGGCAUUUGAUGUGAAUUUCAAAUGUUUAUAUGAAACAUUUAACUUGACAGUAAAUCAAACAAAGGUAAUAUGGGAAUAUAAUGACACCUUUAGGUGUCCAGCUAAACGUUGUUAUGGAGUUAACACUACCAGACUUGUUACCCAUACCUUUUCAAUAACCAAUUUCACUAAGGGGCUAGUAUGUAAUAAGACUGACACCAUGCACCUGAGUAUGGACUUUGAGGGUGAAAGGAUAUAUUUAGGUAAUUCAACUCGGGAUACACCUUUCCCGUGUGAUGUUUUAAAUUGGUGGCCCAGCAGCAACUGGGGAAAUCCCAUAAAUCAUCCUUAUACCGUUCGACAAAAUAUGAGUUGGUGUUUUCAAUUUCCCCGAUUACCAGGUAAUCACUGUCCAUGGCCCGGGAUGACCUAUAAAUAUAAAUAUAAUGUUAGUGCCUCUUGUGUCUGGUCACUGUAUUUUUGGGCAGGACUAAAAGAGCAACAGGGACACCACCCCUGGGAUCCUCUAGACACUUAUAUUAUAGAGAAGGAUGUACCUCAUUCCCCCCUAUGGCACUGUCAAAAGGUAAUAAAUUGUACCAAUUUUGAUGACUUGCUACCUUUCGUAUGGCGGACUGAAUCUUUAGUAACAGCUUAUCGCCAGGCUCGUUUAUGUUACAAUUAUACAAUCCCACUCCCACCAGAAUUAGAGAAAAUGCACCUUCGUAAUGUCACUCUUGGACCUAAAGGUAUCCAAGACAUAACGUUAUGGGAAAAUAUCACUUUAUGGUGCAAGAUGCCACUCUGGCAUUUUGUGACUGCCCCCAAUGGUAUUAUAUAUAGACAUGAUUCAGGUUAUGAUGAUUCCUAUUGUUCUACAGCAUUGUUUAGCAGCCCGCGUGACACCAUGUGGAUAUGCUCAGAUGGAAACAUGUAUUCCCAUAUUCAGCCGCAACAGCAUGCAGGCUUACAGUGUGGUUUAGGAAUCCCAACAAUGUGUCCACACAAAAUAGCCACUUAUAAAUUACCAGGUCGAAUGAAAAGAAGUGAAGGACCUAAACACCCAGGGUCCGGAUAUAUUGAUUCUUGGAAGAUACCCGAGUAUUAUACUUUUGGACAAGCAGUAACUUUAGGCCUGCAAUCAAUUUUUAUGCCUGGGUCGAUGAUCAGAACCCAUCAGUUUGCCAUUGAGAACCUGAUUUGGCAAGUUCAUCUUUUGUCAAACUGGUCACGAACAGCUUUUGGAGCAAUGAAUUUACAAGUGCAAGCUGUUUCAAAAAUGGCUUUGCAAAAUCGGUCAGCAUUGGACGUGAUAUUGUUAAAGGAAAAAGGUGUAUAUGUGGACUACUGAAUCAUACAGAAGAGGAAUGUUGUGUGGUGAUCCCCAACGUAUCAUCGACCAUCACUCAGGCCAGAGAGGAGUUUAAGAAGAUCGCCGACACCACGUUAGAGUUGUUCCACCGAAUACAACCUGAUGCGUCAGGACCCAUCGGAUGGAUUGGUUCAGCCUUUAAAUGGAUGGGACUGACAAUCCAACAAUGGAUUGAGAGCUUGCUUGAAUAUGGUGUGAUUAUAGUUAUAGUUAUUGUUAUUGUGUGCAUAGGCAUAAGCUGCUUAAAACAAGCAAUUGUUACGUCUGUCACUAAACAGAUCAACACCCUUAACGUUUCAUUAGAAGAAUAUGCCCCUCUGGUGCAGCAAAACAGCGACACCUACCGGGACAUCCCACGUGGCGCUUGGUAGUGACAAAGUCACAGGGUGGAUAAUGUGGAGAACAGACAAGGCACUGUUUACUCCAACGGCCUGCUGAAGAGGGGAAGGUAUCACUGUUCACAGAUGGGGAGUGGGACCGGGCGUAGGCCGGGUAGUCUCUCCCUGCCUGUGGACACACUCCCCAGCUUGUGCAGGAUGAUAACAAUGCCUUUGUCACCACCUCCGCUAUUAUCUGCUACCAACCACUUGCGGCCUAAACUAAUGUCAAGAGCCUGACCCACACCAAAGCUGCCUCAUAAAUCACGUGAAAGGGGAAUUAAUAUCUACAACUACAUGCUGAUCAGGCAUGAGGACCCAUGAUGGGGGGCCUCCACUAUUUAGUUCUCUAAACCUGAAGGGUGGAGACCUUUGUCACAAGUUUUCAUUAAUUUCUUUUCCCUUCCCUUUUGAAAACCCAGUCAGCGGGUUGAGCCCAGAGGAGUGUGUCAGAGUGACACAGGUUCUGGCUACUGAUAAGGACGUCAAGAAACCUAAUCACAAUAGACAUGCGCCUUAGAAGCAUAUAAAAUGUGACAAUAACAACAGCUCUUUGGAGCUCCCUCUCAGCUGGUCUGGGACCCCCCUUAUUGCGUCCUGCACACUCGAGACCCUCGCCCGACGUGGAACAGGUCGUAUUACCCCUGCUUGCUCUGUAUGUAGUGUAGUGUGUUAUUUUCACCCUGUUAAAUACGGAACUUGCUAUAUUGUUUAAACUCUCUUGCUUAAGGAUACUGGUGUACUUAAUAAAUAUCUGAAACCCGAUAA